AGUGGGUGUAAUGUACCUACUAGCCGACGACGGAUACGGGUUGUGGGAGCAAGAGCCCGGAGAUGGAUUCUGAGACAUGAAUCCAGGCCCUACGAGGCGCAGCAGGCGCGAAAACUUUACAAUGCGGGAAACCGCGAUAAGGGGACACCGAGUGCCAGCAUCUUAUGUUGGCUGUCCGCAUGUAUAAAUCACAUGUGUUAGCAAGGGCCGGGCAAGACCGGUGCCAGCCGCCGCGGUAACACCGGCGGCCCGAGUGGUGGCCACUAUUAUUGGGUCUAAAGGGUCCGUAGCCGGUUUGGUCAGUCUUCCGGGAAAUCUGACGGCUUAACCGUUAGGCUUUCGGGGGAUACUACCAGGCUUGGGACCGGGAGAGGUAAGAGGUACUACGGGGGUAGGAGUGAAAUCUUGUAAUCCUCGUGGGACCACCAGUGGCGAAGGCGUCUUACCAGAACGGGUCCGACGGUGAGGGACGAAAGCUGGGGGCACGAACCGGAUUAGAU
rnacentral:rRNA from 1 species